rnacentral:lncRNA from 1 species
UUAAUUUUGGGCAAGAAUCUCCUCUUCUGCCGAGUGGAUAUCAUGAGGCUCCCCCUCAGCAUGAUCAUCUCCUUGUAGAUUCAGCAAGUCCCCCUUAGCUGGAACAUCUUCUUAAGAGAUCAGAAACUCCCCCUCAACUGGUGUAUUCUCUAUCAUGAGAAUUUCAGGGAUCUCCCCCUCAGCUGGAGCACUGUCCUCUUUAUUUCCUUGGGACAGUUCUUCUUUUGCAGCCAUAUUCUUGGCUUCCUUUUUCAGAACCUUUUCAUUUUCAAG